rnacentral:rRNA from 1 species
UUGUCGUCAGCUCGUGUCGUGAGAUGUUGGUUAAGUCCGCAACGAGCGCAACCCCUACUUGUUAGUUGCCAUCAUUCAGUUGGGCACUCUAGCGAGACUGCCGGUAAUAAACCGGAGGAAGGUGGGGAUGACGUCAAAUCAUCAUGCCCCUUAUGACCUGGGCUACACACGUGCUACAAUGGUUGGUACAACGAGUUGCGAGUCGGUGACGGCGAGCUAAUCUCUUAAAGCCAAUCUCAGUUCGGAUUGUAGGCUGCAACUCGCCUACAUGAAGUCGGAAUCGCUAGUAAUCGCGGAUCAGCACGCCGCGGUGAAUACGUUCCCGGGCCUU